GAGCGCAACCCUCGCUGUGUGUUACAAGUGUCACACGGAACUGCCGGUCAUAAACCGGAGGAAGGUGGGGAUGACGUCAAGUCAGCAUGGCCUUUAUAUCCUGGGCUACACACACGCUACAAUGGGAAGGGACAAUAGGUUGCGAAGCCGCGAGGCGGAGCCAAUCCAGCAAAACUUCCCUCAGUUCAGAUUGCAGGCUGCAACUCGCCUGCAUGAAGUUGGAGUUGCUAGUAAACGCAGGUCAGCCAUACUGCGUUGAAUACGUUCCCGGGGCUU
rnacentral:rRNA from 1 species